rnacentral:lncRNA from 1 species
AUGCUGCGUAUGCUCUUCUGUAUCAGCCGCAAGGAUACGGGUUUGGAACAACAUGGGGUCAUUUCAACUCAUCCUCCUGCGGCUCCAACUUUAAUUUCAUUCCUGCUUUGCUGGAAAGCGAAGAGAGCAAAUCUCAAUGAGGUAUCUGUCGAACACUCUAUUUCUCAUCCAUCCACCGUCCCCCGCUCCCAGACUCUCGCCGCUGGAUUUCUGGGACUUAACGAAGUUCUGAAACAUAAGCAAGAGGCAUUAGAUGCUGAAUGCUUGCAGGAUGGCAUGACUGAUCGAAUAAGCUCAAGAAGUGAUUUUAUAUGUUUAUUAUAAUCUAAUAUGGCUAAUGAAACUCUGUUUCAUGAUGCUUUCCUCAGCUCUGAUGGGUGGCAGUGAAGGCAGAAUGUGCGAAGAAAAGAGAGACUAGCUCACGUCAAAGGAGGACACAGUGUUAUAUAUUUAUAUAA